AGGAUGAACGCUGGCGGCGUGCCUAAUACAUGCAAGUCGAGCGGCAGCACGGUCUUCGGACUGGUGGCGAGCGGCGGACGGCUGAGUAACGCGUAGGAAUAUACCCCAAAGUGAGGGAUAACUGCCCGAAAGGGUGGCUAAUACCGCAUGUGGUCUUCGGACUAAAGCCUUCGGGCGCUUUGGGAAUAGCCUGCGUAAGAUUAGCUAGUUGGUGAGGUAAUGGCUCACCAAGGCGACGAUCUUUAGCUGGUCUGAGAGGAUGACCAGCCAGACUGGAACUGAGACACGGUCCAGACUCCUACGGGAGGCAGCAGUAGGGAAUUUUCCACAAUGGGCGAAAGCCUGAUGGAGCAACGCCGCGUGCAGGAUGAAGGCCCUCGGGUCGUAAACUGCUUUUAUGUGCGAAGAAUAUGACGGUAACACAUGAAUAAGGGUCGGCUAACUACGUG
rnacentral:rRNA from 1 species